AAACCAACAGGGAUUGCCUCAGUAACGGCGAGUGAAGCGGCAACAGCUCAAAUUUGAAAUCUGGCCCUCGGGUCCGAGUUGUAAUUUGUAGAGGAUGCUUUUGGCGCGGUGCCUUCCGAGUUCCCUGGAACGGGACGCCUUAGAGGGUGAGAGCCCCGUACGGUUGGACACCAAGCCUCUGUAAAGCUCCUUCAACGAGUCGAGUAGUUUGGGAAUGCUGCUCUAAAUGGGAGGUAAAUUUCUUCUAAAGCUAAAUAUUGGCCAGAGACCGAUAGCGCACAAGUAGAGUGAUCGAAAGAUGAAAAGCACUUUGAAAAGAGGGUUAAAUAGCACGUGAAAUUGUUGAAAGGGAAGCGUUUGCGACCAGACCUUUUCCUGGCGGAUCAUCCGGUGUUCUCACCGGUGCACUUCGCCAGGUUUAGGCCAGCAUCGGUUCUCGCAGGGGGAUAAAAGCUUGGGGAACGUGGCUCCUUCUGGAGUGUUAUAGCCCCUUGCAUAAUACCCUUGCGGGGACCGAGGACCGCGCUUCGGCAAGGAUGCUGGCGUAAUGGUCGUCAACGAC
rnacentral:rRNA from 1 species